rnacentral:rRNA from 1 species
CCCUUAGAUGUUCUGGGCAGCACGCGCGCUACAAUGGUCUUCGCAAACGGAUGCAUUCUCGAAGGAGAAUGCCAAUCUUGGAAUCUAUGCCUUGGUCGGGACAGUUGCUUGCAAUUUUUCGACUCGACCCAGGAAUUCCUUGUAAUCGUGAUUCAUCACAUCACGAUGAAUACGUCCCUGCCCUUUGUACACACCGCCCGUCGCUCCUACCGAUCGAAGAGUUAGGUGAAUUGUUUUGAUCGAUAAGAUUUGACUAUGGUCAACUCUCGUUGUGAAAUUCUGUGAAUCUGACUGUUUAGAGGAAGGAAAAGUCGUAACA